rnacentral:lncRNA from 1 species
GCCCAACUCACUUUACAGCCUUAGUAGCAAGGCUGCACCACUUUAAGUUGCCCGUCAGAGGGAUUUCACUCUUCUCAAUUCUGAAAUGGUUAGCGUCCGUCCAUUAGUUUCUUCUUUGUUCGGCUAUAGAGAAUUUGCAAUCUAUUUUGAUUUAUUUCAGGGUUUCACUGAAGCAGAAUAUUAUAUUUGCUCUUGAAAAAGAAUAAAAUGG